AUUGAACGCUGGCGGCAGGCCUAACACAUGCAAGUCGAACGAGUGGCGGACGGGUGAGUAAUGUCUGGGAAACUGCCUGAUGGCGGGGGAUAACUACUGGAAACGGUAGCUAAUACCGCAUACCAUCGGAUGUGCCCAGAUGGGAUUAGCUUGUUGGUGGGGUAAAGGCUCACCAAGGCGACGAUCCCUAGCGGGUCUGAGAGGAUGACCAGCCAAACUGGAACUGAGACACGGUCCAGAGUCGGACGGGAGGCAGCAGUGGGGAAUAUUGCACAAUGGGCGCAAGCCUGAUGCAGCCAUGCCGCGGGUAUGAAGAAGGCCUUCGGGUUGUAAAGAACUUUCAGCGGGGAGGCGUUACCCGCAGAAGAAGCACCGGCUAACUCCGUGCCAGCAGCCGCGGUAAUUC
rnacentral:rRNA from 1 species